CGGACGGGUGAGUAACGCGUGGGUAACCUGCCUUACACAGGGGGAUAACACUUAGAAAUAGGUGCUAAUACCGCAUGAGCGCACAGGACCGCAUGGUCGAGUGUGAAAAACUGAGGUGGUGUAAGAUGGACCCGCGUCUGAUUAGCUAGUUGGUGAGGUAACGGCCCACCAAGGCGACGAUCAGUAGCCGGCCUGAGAGGGUGGACGGCCACAUUGGGACUGAGACACGGCCCAGACUCCUACGGGAGGCAGCAG
rnacentral:rRNA from 1 species